rnacentral:rRNA from 1 species
UACAGAGGUCUCAAGCGUUUGUUCGGAUUCAUUGGGCGUAAAGGGUGCGUAGGCGGCGCGGUAAGUCGGGUGUGAAAUCUCGGGGCUUAACUCCGAAACUGCAUUCGAUACUGCCGUGCUUGAGGACUGGAGAGGAGACUGGAAUUUACGGUGUAGCGGUGAAAUGCGUAGAUAUCGUAAGGAAGACCAGUGGCGAAGGCGGGUCUCUGGACA